CAGCCGCGGUAAUUCCAGCUCCCAACGUGUANAUCGUCAUUGCUGCGGUUAAAAAGCUCGUAGUUGGAUCUUAGCUCAUGUCGGUAGUUCUCCAUGUGAGAUACUGCUCGGCUGAGCUGUUUCGCCGGUUUUCCGUAGUUUCGGCUGCGGUGACUGGUGUUGUAACUUUGAUUAAAUCAAUGUGAUUAAAACAGGCGUUUGCUUGAAUGCUUUAUCAUGGAAUAAUAGAAUAUGACUUCGGUCCAUUCUGUUGGUCUUGGGAUCGAAGUAAUGAUUAAAAGGAACAACUCGGGGGCAUCCGUAUCGCUGCGUGAGAGGUGAAAUUCUUGGACCGCAGCGAGACGACCUAUUGCGAAAGCAUUUGCCAAGAAUGUUUUCAUUAAUCAAGAACGAAAGUCAGAGGAUCGAAGGCGAUUAGAUACCGCCCUAGUUCUGACCGUAAACUAUGCCAACUAGCGAUCAGGUGGUGGUAGUUUAGCCCUGCCUGGGAGCUUCUCGGAAACGAAAGU
rnacentral:rRNA from 1 species